rnacentral:rRNA from 1 species
GUUUGAUCAUGGCUCAGGACGAACGCUGGCGGCGCGCCUAACACAUGCAAGUCGAACGAGCGAGAGAGAGCUUGCUUUCUCGAGCGAGUGGCGAACGGGUGAGUAACGCGUGAGGAACCUGCCUCAAAGAGGGGGACAACAGUUGGAAACGACUGCUAAUACCGCAUAAGCCCACGACCCGGCAUCGGGUAGAGGGAAAAGGAGCAAUCCGCUUUGAGAUGGCCUCGCGUCCGAUUAGCUAGUUGGUGAGGUAACGGCCCACCAAGGCGACGAUCGGUAGCCGGACUGAGAGGUUGAACGGCCACAUUGGGACUGAGACACGGCCCAGACUCCUACGGGAGGCAGCAGUGGGGAAUAUUGCACAAUGGGGGAAACCCUGAUGCAGCGACGCCGCGUGGAGGAAGAAGGUCUUCGGAUUGUAAACUCCUGUUGUUGAGGAAGAUAAUGACGGUACUCAACAAGGAAGUGACGGCUAACUACGUGCCAGCAGCCGCGGUAAAACGUAGGUCACAAGCGUUGUCCGGAAUUACUGGGUGUAAAGGGAGCGCAGGCGGGAAGACAAGUUGGAAGUGAAAUCCAUGGGCUCAACCCAUGAACUGCUUUCAAAACUG